rnacentral:misc_RNA from 1 species
ACACCUCAACUCUCAUGGUUUGCCAUGACGAGCUUGGACUUUGGGGGUCUUGCUGGCCUGUUGGUCGGCUCCUCUCAAAUGAAUCAGCUUGCCAGUGUUUGGUGGCAUCACAGGUGUGAUAACUAUCUACGCUUGUGGUUUUCCACCAGGUAACCUUCAGUGAUGGGGGUUCGCUGGAGCUCAUAGACGUCUCUCCUCAGCGAGGACAGCUUUUGAAC